rnacentral:rRNA from 1 species
UGGGGAAUAUUGGACAAUGGGCGAAAGCCUGAUCCAGCAAUGCCGCGUGAGUGAUGAAGGCCUUAGGGUUGUAAAGCUCUGUUACCCGGGAUGAUAAUGACAGUACCGGGAGAAUAAGCCCCGGCUAACUCCGUGCCAGCAGCCGCGGUAAUACGGAGGGGGCUAGCGUUGUUCGGAAUUACUGGGCGUAAAGCGCGCGUAGGCGGCUUUGCAAGUCAGAGGUGAAAGCCCGGGGCUCAACCCCGGAAUUGCCUUUGAGACUGCAUCGCUAGAACGUCGGAGAGGUAAGUGGAAUUCCGAGUGUAGAGGUGAAAUUCGUAGAUAUUCGGAAGAACACCAGUGGCGAAGGCGACUUACUGGACGACUGUUGACGCUGAGGUGCGAAAGCGUGGGGAGCAAACA